UUCAAUUGAAUGGGAGAAUACGUAAGUAAGAUAGAGAAAAACUAUCGACAUUCUAAACAUAUUGUAAUAUUAACUUGCUAGAAUAGGAGAGACGAAUGCCCAAUUUUUCAAGAAGAAGAAAACGAAAAGCGCAGUUUAUUUUGGAUUUUAAAGAGAGAAACUAAAAGGCUUAACUAGGAGAAAAAGAAAACAUUUGGAGGAUUCAAAUAUAUUGGGUACAACAAACAAAUAAGAGAGUAA